GCCAACCCACCGGCCGCUGAUAUGUCUGAUAUUCUUGGGUUCGACUCGAGACUAAUCGAACCAGUUUAUUAGACGUAUCGACGGCCGGUUUGGGUUAGUAUUU
rnacentral:pre_miRNA from 1 species